rnacentral:rRNA from 1 species
CCUACGGGAGGCUGCAGUGAGGAAUAUUGGUCAAUGGGCUUACGCCUGAACCAGCCAAGUCGCGUGAGGGAAGACUGCCCUAUGGGUUGUAAACCUCUUUUGUCAGGGAGCAACGCCGGCUACGUGUAGCCGGACUGAGAGUACCUGAAGAAAAAGCAUCGGCUAACUCCGUGCCAGCAGCCGCGGUAAUACGGAGGAUGCGAGCGUUAUCCGGAUUUAUGGGGUUUAAAGGGUGCGUAGGCGGAAUGCCAAGUCAGCGGUAAAAUCGCGGGGCUCAACCUCUCGCCGCCGUUGAAACUGGCGUUCUUGAGUGAGCGAGAAGUAUGCGGAAUGCGUGGUGUAGCGGUGAAAUGCAUAGAUAUCACGCAGAACUCCGAUUGCGAAGGCAGCAUACCGGCGCCCAACUGACGCUGAAGCACGAAAGCGUGGGUAUCGAACAGGAUUAGAUACCCCUGUAGUC